AUUGAACGCUGGCGGCGUGCUUAACACAUGCAAGUCGAUCGGUAACGCGGGGGCAACCCUGGCGACGAGAGGCGGACGGGUGAGGAACGCUUGGGAAUCUGCCUAUCAGCGGGGGACAACCCGGGGAAACUCGGGCUAAUACCGCAUACGCUCUACGGAGGAAAGCCGGGGACCGGAAGGCCUGGCACUGAUAGAUGAGCCCAAGUCGGAUUAGCUAGUUGGCGGGGUAACGGCCCACCAAGGCGACGAUCCGUAGCUGGUCUGAGAGGACGAUCAGCCACACUGGGACUGAGACACGGCCCAGACUCCUACGGGAGGCAGCAGUGGGGAAUAUUGGACAAUGGGGGAAACCCUGAUCCAGCGACGCCGCGUGGGUGAAGAAGGCCUGCGGGUUGUAAAGCCCUUUCGGUAGGGACGAAAGCUCUCGACCUAACACGUCGGGAGGUUGACUUAACCUACAAAAGAAGCACCGGCUAACUCUGUGCCAGCCGCCGCAGUAAAAC
rnacentral:rRNA from 1 species